ensembl:snoRNA small nucleolar RNA, H/ACA box 11
GGGCUGUGCUCAGAGCAGGGGGCAUGAAGAAAUGGUUUACAACAAACCCAACAAGAAUCUGGGUCAUUGUGACCAGGAGCACGAACUCAUGGCCUUCCUGUGAACAAACCCCAUACACAU